AUGUGAUCGUCUCUCGCAUAUCAAUAAGCGGAGGAAAAGAAACUAACAAGGAUUCCCCUAGUAACGGCGAGUGAAGCGGGAAGAGCUCAAAUUUGAAAUCUUAAAGGGUUUCCCUUUACGAAUUGUAGUUUAAAGAAGUGUUUUCUGUCGAGGUUUUGGUAAAAGUUCUUUGGAAUAGGACAUCAUAGAGGGUGAGAAUCCCGUAUUUGACCUUUACUUUCAACUUUGUGAUACACUUUCAAAGAGUCGGAUUGUUUGGGAAUGCAGUCCAAAAUGGGUGGUAAAUUUCAUCUAAAGCUAAAUAUUGGCGAGAGACCGAUAGCGAACAAGUACCGUGAGGGAAAGAUGAAAAGAACUUUGAAAAGAGAGUUAAACAGUACGUGAAAUUGUCGAAAGGGAAGCGUUUGACACCAGUGUUGUUUUUCUGAAAAUCAAUUAAAGAACUGUUUAUGCUAAGCUGUUUAGACUUUAUCAGCUAUCUGUUUAGUUUUGAGCUUUUCUUUAAUGCACUUUUCAGUUAACAAGUCAACAUCAAUUUCUUUUGCUGUAAAAAAGCUUGAGGAAGGUGGCUUGAGAUUCGUCUUAAGUGUUUAUAGCCUCUUGCCUAUGCAGUCGGAGAGAUUGAGGUCUGCAGCGUAGAUCCCUUCGGGGCUAAAUGCAUUUGUGCUAAGUUAUAGCAUUUUAUAGACAACUUGUUGACUAUGAUUUGUCUUGUAGCUUACUCGCUUAUGUUAUUUUACCUACGCUUAGGAUGUUGAAGACUCUACAGAGAUA
rnacentral:rRNA from 1 species